AACGAACGCUGGCGGCAGGCCUAACACAUGCAAGUCGAACGCUCCAGCAAUGGUGAGUGGCAGACGCGUGAGUAACGCGUGGGAACCUUCCCUAUGGAUCGGAAUAGCCCUGGGAAACUUGGGGGAAUACCGAAUAAGCCCUUUGUGGGCAAGAUUUAUCGCCAUUGGAUGGGCCCGCGUCGGAUUAGCUAGUUGGUGGGGUAACGGCCUACCAAGGCGACGAUCCGUAGCUGGUCUGAGAGGAUGAUCAGCCACACUGGGACUGAGACACGGCCCAGACUCCUACGGGAGGCAGCAGUGGGGAAUAUUGGACAAUGGGCGCAAGCCUGAUCCAGCCAUGCCGCGUGAGUGACGAAGGCCUUAGGGUUGUAAAGCUCUUUUGGCGGGGAAGAUAAUGACGGUACCCGCAGAAUAAGCUCCGGCUAACUUCGUGCCAGCAGCCGCUGUAACAC
rnacentral:rRNA from 1 species